rnacentral:rRNA from 1 species
AUUAACAAAAUAAAGUAAAUACACUAUCACGAAAGAAGGUGAGCUAAACAAAUAUACUUGCUUAUGAUACGUGGCAUAGUAUUAUUAUAAUAUAUGUUUAGGGGUGAUAGGCUUUUCAAGCUUUCUAAUAACUUGAUUCAUAUGAAAAGUAUUUAGUACCAAGAUAUACCUAAAAAGUUAAGCUUUUAGGUGAUUAUUAAAGACAUUAAAAAUUUUAAAUAUAGUAUAAUAGCUAAUUAGCAAUAAACCUAAUAUUAAUUAUGUGUUUUUAUAAUUAAUAAUAUGAUAGUGUAAAUUAUUUUAACACUUGAUAAUGUUAGUAUUAGUAUUAAUUUAAAUGUGCUAAAGGAACUCGGCAAAUUAACUGCUCAACUGUUUAUCAAAAACAUAGCUAUAUGGAUUAAUAUAUAGUUAUUUCUGCUCCAUGAUUAUUAAAUAGCCGCAGUACCCUGACUGUGCAAAGGUAGCAUAAUCAGUUGGCUUUUAAUUAAAGUCUGGUAUGAAUGAAAAUAUGGGUGGUAGCUGUCUUUAGCAUAUUAGUUUGAAUUUAUUAAGCAAGUGCAAAUACUUGCAAAGUUCAAAAAGACGAGAAGACCCUAGAAACUUGAAGUAGUUUUUGUUGGGGCGACAGAAUUACAUUUAACUAAUUUUAAAAGACAUGACAUUUAAUUGAAAGAGUAAGUUACUCUAGGGAUAACAGCAUAAUUUAGACAGUUUGUGACCUCGAUGUUGGACUAGGUAUUACACCCCUAAGGAAGGAGUGUAACAUGCUCUGUUCGAGCAGUAUUACCUACAUGAUCUGAGUUCAGACCGG